GAUUUUUGUCAUUAUGUCAAAGGUUCUUCGUUCGAGUGACUGUUUGGACGAAACUAAUAUUAUUUAUUGUGGUUUUGAGUUUGUGAAGAUUAUGAGUUUCUGCCCUGAAUCUCCUGAUAUUUAAAAAAAAAAAUGUUUUGAAUGACCUAUAUUCCCAGCAAGAUUUGUUUUCCCCGAAAAGAAUCUAUUUCAGCACUUAAGAGCAUGAUUAUCGGGGUUUGUUAAAUGGGUUUCUUAAAUUAAUUUUGAUUAAAAAAAAAAAAAAUUUACUUUUUUAUCGAGGAAACGUCGCUUAAUUAAAAGAAGUAACAAACAUCGCUUAUGGGACACGCGUCAUACAUGGAAGUCUCCUCCUCUCUCUCGUCUCUAUCUCUCUCCUUCGUGAAGUCCAUAAUUUCUUCCCGGCGCCAAAGAGAUUGAGCUUCUACACGAUGACCUCGAAGCUUAUCAGCCGCGCUCGUCUCGAAUCUCCAGGACGAGCCUCCGUCUACUUCUGACUCCUGUCGAUAUUACGGCCAAGGAGGAGGUAGAGGAGAUUGAUGUUACAAACGGCGAUGGGAUUGAUUCGAUUGGACUCGUCUCUCUCGUUGAGGCUUUGGUUAACGAAGGGCUCUACAACGUCCACGUCUGUGCUCCUCAGACCUUCGGAGAAUAUGAGCAACGUCACCGCAGACCUCCCUUUCACCGCUGUCGCACUCCCUGGUUCUACAGCGAAUGAGAGUUCGCCUCCGACUGAUCGUCCCGUCCGCGUCUACGCCGAUGGGAUCUACGAUCUUUUCCACUUCGGUCACGCCUGAUCUCUCGAACAGGCCAAGAAAUCGUUAGUAACCUCUUUAUCUCCACUAGAUAGCUUCUGACUAAUUCUGCAUAUCCCUGAUUCGAUUUUGUUUUUGUCUUUGUUUUGGCGAUUGAUCUGUGAUCUCGAUGAUAAUUUGAUCUGUUUUGAUUAAUAUUACUGCCAAAUUUUGUGAUGCGCAAAGCAUUGUGGUGUGUGAUUUUGAUAGGUCAGAGCUUCGUUUGUUGAGAUUUUGCAAUAGCUCUGAUGUGCUUCUGUGUUUGAUUUUGUAAUUUUGAGAAAUAUUUUUUGUGUUCUUUAUGGUUUUGCCAUUGCUUUUCCAAACACUUACCUUCUUGUGGAAUGUUGCAACGAUGAAACGACACAUAAGUACAAGGGAAGGACUGUGAUGACUGCUGAAGAACGAUAUGAAUCACUUCGGCAUCGCAAGGAUAACGGUGCUCUAAGAUGGUGCAUGGCGUCUGAUUACAAUGAGGUUGAAACCAAUCCGAUAAAUAUGGUAUAUUUGAAGAAGGCCUAACUAUUGUCUCAUGUUAAACCCAAAAACAGAUCCUUAUAAUGUUAAAUAUAUUCCACUCUUAAAAAAUCCAAUCGUAAAGGUGAGGUGGGGCAAGCCCAUGUAUAACAUCAGCCUCAAACAAGAAAGAGUUCAAGGUUUCGAAUAGGCCAACUUCUUCGCACCCAAUGUCUCAAAUAUAUAAAUGAUUUCAUCAAAGAUGUAGAAAUAUAUGAGUUUGUAAUCAUCAGAUUCUUUGCCUCAUAUUUUUUUCUCUUUUGGCACGAGGAAACCCUUUUUACGUUUCAAUUCUUCUUCUUAAAUUUUUUUAUUUAUUUUGUAGUUAAGUCACAGUUGACGGUUACAGAUUGUUUUUCACGCAAUGCUCUCGACUUUAGUCAAAAAGUUUACUUGAACAGUUGAACUACUGGGGUAUCUUAUCUUCAUAACUCACGCACCCUCUUCCCGUUUAAUGCCCACAUUAUUUUAUUAUUAAUAGAUCAUAUUACUAAGAGCAGGUCCAUUGGAGUCUUUUAGAGGGGGUUCUAAAAAAAAAUCAAAAAAAAUAAAUGAAAAAAUAGAAAAAACCAAAGGACCGGUGCUAAACAAAGGGGUUUUGGAACCACUAAAAACCUCAUACGUGCCCUCUCGGUAUUGGUCGUCUCUCUUUCUCGAUGGUUUUUUUUUUUUUGUCUCUGAGAAAUCUCGUCGUUGCUCUCCUUCUCCAAAUCCUUCCAUGAAAUCACUUUGAAGGUUCGAAUUCUUUGAGUUUUUGUAUUGGUUUAAAGCUUGUGAAUCUCGUUGGAAUUGAAAUUUGGUUUUGGUAAUGCGAUUUGAGAAUGAGAUUUGAGAUUAGCUUUGAUGAUGGGAACUAAAUCACAUCUCCGACAUGGCGAUCUUCAGGAAGUCCGUUGAAGGCUGCUGUUUUGAUUAACUACGACCCGACAGCACCUUCUCGUCUCUUAUCAACAAUGAGGGAGACAAUGGAGGAAACAAUGGCGGCUAGGUUCUGGUGCCUUUGCUUCCUGAGGAUGCCACACCUCCUUCAAUGCCUCCUUCCACCAAAUCAUUGCUAUGCGUGGUCUCGGUAUGUCGAUGAAUCAGAUAGAGAUCUGAUGAACGACUCUUUUUUCCAUCACUUAAGCAGAAAGAGGAGCAGCACUCAAGAGAGACUUGGCUGGUGAAACCAAAGCAACACGCCUCCGUUCUCCACUUUAGAGUACUUCUUGUACACAACACGUAGCCUGCUCUCUCCACACCUAGAGUGAUGUAAAGCUAGGAGCUUUGAGCAUUCCCUAUUAACACACAACAAAGAACAAAACUUAUCAGUUUUUGCAAUUAAGAAACAAGAACAGAAACAGAUAUUUGCAAGUCUUCUCUGUUCUUACAUAAUCUCAGACUGCAUAUCCUGUGUGAAACUUCAAGGUCUCUGUCCAAGCUGGUGACUUGUUCAGUGAGCAUCUCGCUGUGUAGACAGCUGAAGCAGCAAGCAUGGAGGGACAGAACUUCAAGGUAAUGUUCUUCUUUGCAUUAGUUGGCAAUAUGACUUAUGUAGGAAGGUAAAGAUCGAUUAUCUUUCCUUGUUUUGUGUCUAAAGAUUCUCUAGUAGCUUUCUUGAAUUUUUUUAUGAAAUACAAUAAUUUUAACU